rnacentral:rRNA from 1 species
UACGUAGGUGGCAAGCGUUGUCCGGAUUUAUUGGUUUAAAGGGUGCGUAGGUGGUCGAUUAAGUCAGUGCUGAAAUAUCCCAGCUUAACUGGGAGGUGGCAUUGAUACUGAUUGACUUGAGUGGAGUUGAGGUGAGGCGGAAUUGACGGUGUAGCGGUGAAAUGCUUAGAUAUCGUCAAGAACACCGAUAGCGAAGGCAGCUUACCAAGCUCUAAAC